rnacentral:rRNA from 1 species
GGAUCCAGACUUUGAUUAUGGCUCAGGAUGAACGCUGGCGGCAUGCCUAAGACAUGCAAGUCGAACGAGGUGGCCCAAAGAAGAUUGAGUGCUUGCACAAGAUUGGAUUUGGAUUACCACCUAGUGGCGGACGGGUGAGUAACACGUAGGUGACCUGCCUUUGAGUUUGGGAUAACUAUUAGAAAUGAUAGCUAAUACCGGAUUAAAUGCAGAUUCGUUUCUGUAUUAAAAGGAGCCUUUAAAGCUUCGCUUAAAGAUGGGCCUGCGGCGUAUUAGCUAGUUGGUGAGGUAAUGGCUUACCAAGGCGACGAUGCGUAGCCGAACUGAGAGGUUGAUCGGCCACAUUGGGACUGAGACACGGCCCAAACUCCUACGGGAGACAGCAGUUAGGAAUAUUCGUCAAUGGGGGAAACCCUGAACGAGCAAUGCCGCGUGAACGAUGAAGGCCCUAUGGGUUGUAAAGUUCUGUUGCAUGGGACGAACGGCUAGGAUAGGAAAUGAUCUUAGCGUGACGGUACCAUGCCAGAAAGCUCCGGCUAACUACGUGCCAGCAGCCGCGGUAAUACGUAGGGAGCAAGCGUUAUCCGGAUUUAUUGGGCGUAAAGGGUGCGUAGGCGGUUUGUUAAGUAUGAGAUUAAAGCCUGGGGCUUAACCUCAGUUCGUUUCAUAAACUGGCAGACUUGAGUAUGGCAGAGGUAAACGGAAUUUCUAGUGUAGCGGUUAAAUGCGUAGAUAUUAGAAGGAACACCAGUGGCGAAGGCGGUUUACUGGGCCAUAACUGACGCUGAGGCACGAAAGCGUGGGGAGCAAAUAGGAUUAGAUACCCUAGUAGUCCACGCCGUAAACGAUGAGUACUAAGUGUUGGGGCAACCCAGUGCUGAAGUUAACACAUUAAGUACUCCGCCUGAGUAGUACGGUCGCAAGGCUGCAACUCAAAUGAAUUGACGG